rnacentral:lncRNA from 1 species
CCUUCCCCCUCCCUUUUAACAACGUAAUUGCUUACAAACAAAUAGUAUGGCCGAAGAACCAGAGACUAUAGAACCAACGGAAGAAGAACUUAUUGCUUAUUUUUAUGAGGGCUCUAACCUCCGCCUUCCUAAUUCUAUUGGUACGCUCUCUAUUUUAGAGUAAGAAAGAAAAAAAUAUGUAUGCCGGUUCUCUAUUUUAUGACAUAAUAUCUAUGUAUGUGUUGUUAUUCUAUGUCAUGUUGAAAGCAACUCGUAUGUUAAAAGAUAAUUUAUCCUACCAAGUUAUUUUGGUGUUUACAUGAUGUAGAAUUGAUAUUUAAUAAUAUAGUUAUUUGUUGAUGGGAUCAUGGAUGUCAUUCCUUCUAACUUCUUUGACAUCAUCACCUAUUUUUUUUCCUUUUAUAUUUAACAAUGUAAUUGUAUGGAAACAGGGAGCAAGACUGAAGAAUUAGAUGAUGAAGAAUCAGAUGAUGAAGAAUCAGAGUUUUGAAAAUCAAAGAUUGAAGAAUCAGAGGAUGAAAAAUCAGAGGAUGGAGAAAGUUAUGGUAAGCUUUUGAUUUUAUGGACAAAAAAAGAAAAAAAUGGUCAUGCAGCUUCUCUAUUUACGUAUAUAUAUAUAUAUAUUCUUUCUUUUUUUCUUGUAUGACAUAAUAUCUAUGUAUUUGUUGUUAUUCAAUGUAUUGUGCCCACAAUACUAAUUUUUGGGUUUUAUCAUCUUCAUUCAUUCAUGGUCUUUUAAAAAAAUGAUUAUUUUUAUUGCUUUUGUUGUAUUUAACAAUGGAUUUACAAAUUGCACACAGGUGAAUGUAAGUAUUGUUUAAAGGUGGAUAAGCACCCUACAUACCUAUGCCCUUAUAAGUGUCGAGUCCCAAAGAACGCAGUUGUUGGCGACAGUUGUGUGGUUGAAUGUCUUGUAUGUGGCUGCCUCUUUAGAGACUCGUGUUGUGCUGGUUGUGGCCUAAGCAUAGGACAUGCACUUCUCAAGGAUUGUACAACUUGUGGGAAGCAAGAAGAACACUUGAAUUAUGAGUGCCCGAAACGUGAGGAGAAACAUAAGGAUUGUAGUUUUACUUAUGACCCUUUCACUGGUUCUUUUUCUGUCGAGAUUUGCCCUUUGAAGUAGAAGAAAAUGAAGAGUUAGUUGUACUCUAGAGUUAAAGCAAAAGAGCAAGGAGUCUUAUUUUCCAUAAAUGCUAUGCAUCCUAUCAUUUUGAUGUCUACAUCGUGUAUUGUUUUUAUCUCAAAUGAAUUGCAAUUUGCAGCACAUGGUAUAUUAUAUUCUUAUGCUUGAAGAUGUGAGAAUCCAUCUAUUUAUAAAAUGUCUAAAGUAAA